rnacentral:rRNA from 1 species
CUGCCAGAAAGAAGCACGCUAACUCCGUGCCAAGCAGCCGCGGUUAAUACGGAAGGGUGGCGAAGCGUUAAUUCGGAAAUACUUGGGCGUAAAGCGCAUCAGGGGUUUGUUAAGUCAGAUGUGAAAGCCCGGGGCUCAACCUCGGAAUUGCAUUUGAAACUGGCCAGACUAGAGUACUGUAGAGGGGGGUAGAAUUUCAGGUGUAGCGGUGAAAUGCGUAGAGAUCUGAAGGAAUACCGGUGGCGAAGGCGGCCCCCUGGACAGAUACUGACAUUCAGAUGCGAAAGCGUGGGGAGCAAACAGGAUUAGAUACCCUGGUAGUCCACGCCGUAAACGAUGUCUACUUGGAGGUUGUGGCCUUGAGCCGUGGCUUUCGGAGCUAACGCGUUAAGUAGACCGCCUGGGGAGUACGGUCGCAAGAUUAAAACUCAAAUGAAUUGACGGGGGCCCGCCCAAGCGGUGGAGCAUGUGGUUUAAUUGGAUGCAACGCGAAGAACCUUACCUACUCUUGACAUCCAGAGAACUUUCCGGAGACGGUUUGGUGCCUUCGGGAAUUUUGAGACAGGUGCUGCAUGGCUGUCGUCAGCUCGUGUUGUGAAAUGUUGGGUUAAGUCCCGCAACGAGCGCAACCCUUAUCCUUGUUUGCCAGCACUUCGGGUGGGAACUCCAGGGAGACUGCCGGUGAUAAACCGGAGGAAGGUGGGGACGACGUCAAGUCAUCAUGGCCCUUACGAGUAGGGCUACACACGUGCUACAAUGGCGCAUACAGAGGGCGGCCAACUUGCGAAAGUGAGCGAAUCCCAAAAAGUGCGUCGUAGUCCGGAUUGGAGUCUGCAACUCGACUCCAUGAAGUCGGAAUCGCUAGUAAUCGUGGAUCAGAAUGCCACGGUGAAUACGUUCCCGGGCCUUGUACACACCGCCCGUCACACCAUGGGAGUGGGCUGCAAAAGAAGUGGGUAG